AGCUAUAUGGAUUAAUAUAUAGUUAUUUCUGCUCAAUGAUUUUAAAUAGCCGCAGUACUCUGACUGUGCAAAGGUAGCAUAAUCAGUUGGCUUUUAAUUGGAGUCUGGCAUGAAUGAAAAUAUGGGUAGUAACUGUCUUAGCAUAUUAUUUGAACUUAUUAAACAAGUGCAAAUACUUGUAAUUACACAAUAGACGAGAAGACCCUAGAAACUUGAAUUGAUUUUUGUUGGGGCGACAGAAUUACAUUUAACUAAUUUUUAUUACAUGACGCAAAGUUGAAAGAAUAAGUUACUCUAGGGAUAACAGCAUAAUUUUAGUAGUUUGUGACCUCGAUGUUGGACUAGGUAUUAUACCCUUAAGACAAGGGUAUACCAUGCUCUGUUCGAGCAAAAUUACCUACAU
rnacentral:rRNA from 1 species